CUAAAAUUAGGUAAUGGAUGUUUACUAGAAAUAUCGGUGAAAAUUAGCGAUUAUUCUCGUUUCUUUUUACCUACUUUUAAGUAUUUGACGUUUUAAAACUAUGACGUUAUUUUUUACCUAAAAUUAGAUUUUUCUUGACUUUGUAAAAACAAGUGUUUCUGCCGGCUCUUCCUGCCGUUCCUGCUGCGGAAUCCUUCGGACAAUAUCGAAAUAAUCAACUAUUUAAAACUGAUGAAUUCCGGUAAAUUGUUUUUUGGUUUCACAUUUCCGAAAAAUUCCAGGAUGGAUCAGGACUCGAACGCCUGUCAUCUUCAAUAAGGUCUGCUUUGGAGUACACGUUGUUGGUUGGGAAUGUUGGUCACGGGUUUGCUCGCUGGCAUUUGGACGAUGAUCAGCCUCGGAUCAGCCGCCCUUAACGUGGUGCACAGACGCUCGAUCCGGUUAACACCUCCGGAGAGAAGUAAACGCCCCUCCUUACGCUCGAUCGGGUUAACACCUCCGGAGAAGAGCAAAUCCCACCCCCCUUCCCUGUCAGCAUACGACCGUAGUUCCCACCGGGGUUAGUUACCUGAUCUCCCCAAAGGUUGCUCGUAUCCCGGCCAUCACCACGGGGAGGUAGGUAAGAGGCUGGGUAAGAGGCUAAAGACCCAACAUUUGCAAUGCCGUACAACAGGGACCAUAAUCCGGCGGAAAAUUUAGCCGGCUUCUAUAUUCAUCUCAAUAAAAAUAAAAAUAAAUUAAUCUAUUGAAGAACCUGUCAUAAGACGAGUUUAAACAAUCCCAUUGA